AGAGUUUGAUCAUGGCUCAGGACGAACGCUGGCGGCGUGCUUAACACAUGCAAGUGGUGCGACGAACCAGGGCUUGCCCUGGGGCAAAGCCGCGAACGGGUGAGUAACACGUGGGUAAUCUGCCCCGAUGACCGGGACAACCCGAGGAAACUCGGGCUAAUACCGGAUGUAGUGCAUAGGCGUAAGCCUAUUCACUAAAGGAAGCUUCGGCCUCCGCAUUGGGAGGAGCCCGCGGCCCAUUAGCUUGUUGGUGGGGUAACGGCCUACCAAGGCAACGAUGGGUAGCUGGUCUGAGAGGACGAUCAGCCACACUGGGACUGAGACACGGCCCAGACUCCUACGGGAGGCAGCAGUGGGGAAUCUUGCGCAAUGCGCGAAAGCGUGACGCAGCAACGCCGCGGGGGGAAGACGGCCUUAGGGUUGUAACCCCUUUCAGGAGGGACGAANNNNCNNCGGUGAAUAGCCGUGUGGGUUGACGGUACCUCCACAAGAAGCUCCGGCUAACUACGUGCCAGCAGCCCGGUAAUACGUAGGGAGCAAGCGUUGUCCGGAAUCAUUGGGCGUAAAGCGCGCGUAGGUGGCCUCAUAAGUCCGUUGUGAAAGUCAAAGGCUCAACCUUUGAAAGCCGAUGGAUACUGUGAGGCUAGAGUACGGAAGAGGCGAGUGGAUUCCUGGGUAGCGGUGGAAUGCGCAGAUAUCAGGAGGAACACCAAUAGCGAAGGCAGCUCGCUGGGACGUUACUGACACUGAGGCGCGAAAGCGUGGGGAGCGAACAGGAUUAGAUACCCUAGUAGUCC
rnacentral:rRNA from 1 species